GAUGAACGCUGGCGGCGUGCCUAAUACAUGCAAGUCGAGCGAACAGACGAGGAGCUUGCUCCUUCGACGUUAGCGGCGGACGGGUGAGUAACACGUAGGUAACCUACCUAUAAGACUGGGAUAACUUCGGGAAACCGGAGCUAAUACCGGAUAAUAUUUCGAACCGCAUGGUUCGAUAGUGAAAGAUGGCUUUGCUAUCACUUAUAGAUGGACCUGCGCCGUAUUAGCUAGUUGGUAAGGUAACGGCUUACCAAGGCAACGAUACGUAGCCGACCUGAGAGGGUGAUCGGCCGCACUGGAACUGAGACACGGUCCAGACUCCUACGGGAGGCAGCAGUAGGGAAUCUGCCGCAAUGGGCGAAAGCCUGACGGAGCAACGCCGCGUGAGUGAUGAAGGUCUUCGGAUCGUAAAACUCUGUUAUUAGGGAAGAACAAACGUGUAAGUAACUGUGCACGUCUUGACGGUACCUAAUCAGAAAGCCACGGCUAACUACGUG
rnacentral:rRNA from 1 species